GAUUUCGGACCUCGUUUCCAGUC
rnacentral:siRNA from 1 species